GAAAUGCGAUAAGUAAUGUGAAUUGCAGAAUUCAGUGAAUCAUCGAAUCUUUGAACGCACCUUGCGCUCCUUGGUAUUCCGAGGAGCAUGCCUGUUUGAGUGUCGUGAAAUUCUCAACCUCUCUGGCUUUUAUAAGCCAGUUAGGCUUGGAUCUUGGAGGUUGCUGGCUUCUCAGAAAUCAGCUCUUCUUAAAUAUAUUAGCAAAGUCUUUGCUGACCAUCUUUGGUAUGAUAAUUAUCUAUAUCAUUGAGAAUCAGCUUCCGUCUUGGAAGGGUUUUGCUUCUAAUGGUCUGUAUAGACAACUUGACAAUUUGACCUCAAAUCAGGUAGGACUACCCGCUGAACUUAA
rnacentral:misc_RNA from 1 species